AACAUUCAACUCAGUUCGAUAACUAUUUUGACUAACCAUGAUCCAUAAACUGUUUGCAUUUUUUUUCGUUUUGUGUGCCGUACAAAAUGCGUUGGGAGGAGACGUUAUGAAAUGUGAUGGAGGAGCUGUACAAUGUUGUAAUAAAUUUGGCUCAAAAGAAAAGCUAAAACCGUCUCAAUUCGUGUUGGCUUUAAUUGGAUUAAAUUUUCAAGAAAUCAUUGGCGACAUUGGACUAGGAUGCACACCAAUCGCAGCGGGGGUUGUUGGUGGCGGAGUAAGCGGACAAAGUUGCACUCAACAAACUGUGUGCUGUCAAGAUAACGACUAUUAUGGAUUAAUCGCCACGGGUUGUUCAGCUUUUAACUUAAAUGCAGGAUAAAUGCUGUCCAUUGUGAAGUGGAUGUCAGAGAUAUUUGAUUGAUGUUUAAUUCGCGUAAAAUUAUGAAUGCGACGAAAAUAAAAUAAAUUUC